GACGAACGCUGGCGGCGUGCUUAACACAUGCAAGUCGAACGGUAAGGCCCUUCGGGGUACACGAGUGGCGAACGGGUGAGUAACACGUGGGUGAUCUGCCCUGCACUUCGGGAUAAGCCUGGGAAACUGGGUCUAAUACCGGAUAGGACCCUGGGAUGCAUGUCCUGGUGGUGGAAAGCUUUUGCGGUGUGGGAGGGGCCCGCGGCCUAUCAGCUUGUUGGUGGGGUGAUGGCCUACCAAGGCGACGACGGGUAGCCGGACUGAGAGGGUGACCGGCCACACUGGGACUGAGAUACGGCCCAGACUCCUACGGGAGGCAGCAGUGGGGAAUAUUGCACAAUGGGCGCAAGCCUGAUGCAGCGACGCCGCGUGAGGGAUGACGGCCUUCGGGUUGUAAACCUCUUUCAGCACCGACGAAGCGCAAGUGACGGUAGGUGCAGAAGAAGGACCGGCCAACUACGUGCCAGCAGCCGCCGUAA
rnacentral:rRNA from 1 species